UUGUCCAAAUUUUUUUUCACAUCAAUUUUUUUCCCCUCAUUUCUUAUUUGGUUUCUGUUUCCUAAUUCGAUUUUCAUUUCCUUAUUCGGUUUCUAUUUCCUUAUUCGAUUUUCAUUUCCUUAUUCGCUUUCUAUUUCCUUAUUGGGUUUCUAUUUCCUUAUUCGGUUUCUAUUUCCUUAUUCGAUUUUCAUUUUCUUAUUCGGUUUCUAUUUCCUUAUUCGAUUUUCAUUUCCUUAUUUGCUUUCUAUUUCCCUAUUGGGUUCCCCUAUUUCCUUAUUCGGUUUCUAUUUCCUUAUUCAAUUUUCCUUUCCUUAUUCGGUUUCUAUUUCCUUAUUCGAUUUUUAUUUCCUUAUUCGGUUUCUAUUUUCUUAUUCAAUUUUCAUUUCCUUAUUCUGUUUAUAUUUCCUUAUUCGGUUUCUAUUUUCUUAUUCGGUUUCUAUUCCCUUAUUCGAUUUUCAUUUCCUUAUUGGGUUUCUAUUUCCUUAUUCUGUUUUCAUUUCCUAAUUCGGUUUCUAUUUCCUUAUUCGGUUUCUAUUUCCUUAUUUGGUUUCUAUUUCCUUAUUCGGUUUCUAUUUCCUUAUUCGAUUU
rnacentral:lncRNA from 1 species